UACGUAGGGUGCAAGCGUUGUCCGGAAUUAUUGGGCGUAAAGAGCUCGUAGGCGGUUUGUUGCGUCGGCUGUGAAAUCCCGAGGCUCAACCUCGGGUCUGCAGUCGAUACGAGCAAACUAGAGUGUUGCAGGGGAGACUGGAAUUCCUGGUGUAGCGGUGAAAUGCGUAGAUAUCUGGAGGAACACCGGUGGCGAAGGCGGCGUUCUGGACUGUUUCUGACACUGAAAAACGAAAGCCAGGGGAGCAAACGGG
rnacentral:rRNA from 1 species